rnacentral:tRNA from 1 species
GGAGAGAUGACCGAGAGGCCGAAGGUGCACGCUUGGAAAGCGUGUGUAUUCUAACCGAGUACCGAGGGUUCGAAUCCCUCUCUCUCCG